AAGCUACAGGUUUAGUGCCCAAGAAGUUUGGAGAAGAAAGAAGUAAGAAAAGAAAGGAAAUGAAAAGAAAAUAAGGAAAAGAAAUUGAAAAACUCCAUUUUCAUGGUGGUGAAUGAGAAGAUGCCGUUGGAAGUGUCACAGCCUAAUUUUCGGGCCAUGACCGGAGCAAGGGCCAAAUGGGCUCAGCCCAUUAAGCCCAAGCAAGCCUCUUUAUAGAAUCUUAUACAUUAAUCGAUUCUCUUUUAAAAUUCAAAAUCUGUAGCGUUCAAAUAUAAUUCCAUUGAAAACAAUUCAUACAACCCAACUAUACAUUCAGAAUGGCAUCAUCAACCAUAAUACACAUAUAUAGUUUGACAAAUGAACCUCAUCAUUUCACAACAAGUAUUCAUAUACACUUAAUUAGAACUUGAUUGUCAGCAGAGUGACUCUGGACAUGGUUGCUACCAUUUAAUGUCAUGGUAAACCUACCAAGUAAUGAAUAGGGAGGAACACCUCGUCCUAGGACCCAACCACCUUUGACUCAAGAAACCUAAAACAUGAAUUUUGAAAAUGUGAGUACAAACUCAAUGAGUGAGCAUAAGAAGGGAACAAGCAAUGACAAGGAAUGGUUUAGGAAACAUGAUGCACUUAUUUGAAAACAAUGCCAUUUAGUUCAAGUUCUUAUUAAAAUCCCUCCAUUUAAACCCUUGGUUGUAAAAUCAUUUAAUGAUGAAGGAACCGUAUUCAGCAUGAAAUUAGAAAGAAAGGAAAUUUCCAGCAAUUAACCAAGCAAGGCAGUAUAAACAGAAUAUUUCUCGUUAUUCAUUUCAAUCACAUAUUAUAAUCAUAAACUUUCUAUCAUAUAUACCUAUAUAAACAUAUAUAAACAUGUCCACCAUCCCAAUUUCAUUCAUCGUCAUGUGCACUUCCUACUCGUACAUAGCCCGGUCAUCAUCAUCAGCUCAUGUACACUCCCUACUCGCACAUAGCUGGGUCAUCAUCGGCUUAUGCGCACUCCCUACUCGCACAUAGCCAGGUCAUCAUCAUCACACAACAUUAUUCAUCAAUGCACAACAUAUAUUCAUAUAUAUACAUACCAACAUAAUAUAGGAGCACAUGGAUUCAUCCUUUUGCACAUUUCACAUUUUCACAACAUCAAAACAUUUUAUCAAGGGCUUGUUCCCCAGCACACAUUUUUGAAGAAAAGUUAGAAAAAAUCAUUCAAAUGUUUCAUCCAAAUACAAUUAUAUUUCCCAAAGAAAUUUUGAAAUGCAAGUUUACUCACCUUAUAACAACGAGAUAUUAAGUCGCUAUUUGCUCAGAGGUGUCUUUAACUAUUUUCACUGGCCGGUCGCUCGUUAUUUACUCUGGCAGGCCACCACAGUACUCUAACCUUGCCUUUGCACUUCUUAGCAAUAGUACCAACUCAACAUAUUUAAUUACAUACGUAUAUAGGUAGCACUUUAAUCAAUUAAUCUUUACUUAAAUUUAUAUUUUUCACCCUAUCAUGAAACCAUCUUCAAUUAACUCACAUCUUAAUACAUUUUUACUGAAAUUACUUAUAUCAGUUGUGUACGUAAUUCCUUAUUUUAUAUCUCUG
rnacentral:lncRNA from 1 species